rnacentral:rRNA from 1 species
CCUACGGGAGGCAGCAGUAGGGAAUCUUCCGCAAUGGACGAAAGUCUGACGGAGCAACGCCGCGUGAACGAUGAAGGCCUUCGGGUCGUAAAGUUCUGUUGUUAGGGAAGAACAAGUGCUAGUUGAAUAAGCUGGCACCUUGACGGUACCUAACCAGAAAGCCACGGCUAACUACGUGCCAGCAGCCGCGGUAAUACGUAGGUGGCAAGCGUUGUCCGGAAUUAUUGGGCGUAAAGCGCGCGCAGGCGGUUUCUUAAGUCUGAUGUGAAAGCCCCCGGCUCAACCGGGGAGGGUCAUUGGAAACUGGGAAACUUGAGUGCAGAAGAGGAAAGUGGAAUUCCAAGUGUAGCGGUGAAAUGCGUAGAGAUUUGGAGGAACACCAGUGGCGAAGGCGACUUUCUGGUCUGUAACUGACGCUGAGGCGCGAAAGCGUGGGGAGCAAACAGGAUUAGAUACCCUGGUAGUCCACGCUGUAAACGAUGAGUGCUAAGUGUUAGAGGGUUUCCGCCCUUUAGUGCUGAAGUUAACGCAUUAAGCACUCCGCCUGGGGAUACGGUCGCAAGACUGAAACUUAAANGAAUUGACGG